rnacentral:pre_miRNA from 1 species
CAACUACUCCCUCUGUCCCAAAUUUCUUGUCUUAGAUUUGUCUAGAUACGGAUGUAUCUAAUACUAAAAUGUGACUUGAUACAUCCAUAUCUAGACAAAUCUAAGACAAGAAUUUUGGGACAAAGGGAGUACUUU